GUAGUUUUUCCAGUCAGUAGCUCUAACCAUGUCAGCAAUUAUCCUCUUCAGCAGCCGUCUGUGUAGACAACACAUUGAAGGAAGGUUCUAGAAACCUAGCAUAUACAAGACAGCCAAACAGGAGCAUGCAAAGCCAGGUAAGGACAGCUAGUGCGGCAUGAGAGCCUCAGGGAGGUCACUGUGAGCGGCUGCUACUACAGAUGCCCGGUCCCUCAGAGGAUACUGGACCACAGCCGACCUUAAAGGGGUUCUUGGUUAAAAAAAAAAAAAAGUAUCCGUGUGUAUAAAUGUAUGGUACUCCAUACGGAAGAAGUCCUGAGAAGUUGUGUGAUGAAAUUUCACUUGCAUGAUAAAGCUAAGGAAACUGCACAAGGAAAGCCCCGUAGAGCAGCGGAGUGUGGAAUGCGCUCAGGUGGAAGCUGCCUGAUUAUCAGGACGUCUUACUCCAGGGGGAUGCUCAAGAUGGACUCCUUGUGCCUUGCAAGACUCUGCUCUUUUUAACAUUGUAAAAUAACACCUGCUCACUAAGGAAACUUUUUAAACACAGAGAAACAGUGAAACAAAUUUACCCACAGUCAUCAGCUCUCCUUGUUCAAUUGGCUUUUUUUCCCUGUGCUCCUCUUUCUUGCCGUGCUCCUCUUUUUUGCUGUGUUCCUGUUUUUCGCUGGGUUUGCCAGAACCUCAAACAAGCACCCAGCCUUCUUGUGUAUUUUUUCCCAAAAUAUUACUAUUCAAAUGA
ensembl:lincRNA D630029K05Rik RIKEN cDNA D630029K05 gene